rnacentral:rRNA from 1 species
GAUGAACGCUAGCGGCAGGCUUAAUACAUGCAGGUCGUGGGGGCAGCAGGUUUGUAGCAAUACAGAUGCUGGCGACCGGCAAACGGGUGCGGAACACGUACAGAACCUUCCUUUGAGCGGGGAAUAGCCCAGAGAAAUUUGGAUUAAUACCCCAUAGUAUAAUGAAGUGGCAUCACUUUAUUAUUAAAGAUUUAUCACUCGAAGAUGGCUGUGCGGCUGAUUAGGUAGUUGGCGGGGUAAAGGCCCACCAAGCCUGCGAUCAGUAACUGGUGUGAGAGCACGACCAGUCACACGGGCACUGAGACACGGGCCCGACUCCUACGGGAGGCAGCAGUAAGGAAUAUUGGUCAAUGGAGGCAACUCUGAACCAGCCAUGCCGCGUGGAGGAUGAAGGUCCUCUGGAUUGUAAACUUCUUUUAUAUGGGACGAAAAAAGGCUUUUCUAAGUCGUCUGACGGUACCAUAUGAAUAAGCACCGGCUAACUCCGUGCCAGCAG